rnacentral:rRNA from 1 species
CAUUAUUGAAUGAAUUUGGGUGGGGUUGUUGCUGGCCC